rnacentral:rRNA from 1 species
AUUGAACGCUGGCGGCAUGCUUUACACAUGCAAGUCGAACGGCAGCGCGGGCUUUGUCCUGGCGGCGAGUGGCGAACGGGUGAGUAAUACAUCGGAACGUGCCCAGUUGUGGGGGAUAGCUCGGCUAAAGCCGGAUUAAUACCGCAUACGACCUGAGGGUGAAAGCGGGGGAUCUUCGGACCUCGCGCUAUUUUAGCGGCCGAUGGCAGAUUAGCUAGUUGGUGGGGUAAAGGCCUACCAAGGCGACGAUCUGUAGCUGGUCUGAGAGGACGACCAGCCACACUGGGAGUGAGACACGGCACAGACACAUACGGGAGGCAGCAGUGGGGAAUUUUGGAGAAUGGGCGAAAGCCUGAUCCAGAAAUGCCGAGUGUGGGAUGAAGGCCUUCGGGUUGGAAAGCACUUUUGGCGGGAACGAAAAGGACUGUGCCAAUACCACGGUUCGAUGACGGUACCCGCAGAAUAAGCACCGGCUAACUACGUG